UUUAAAGUAAGCUAACCUUUAAGCUAGUGGGCUCAUACCCCAAAUAUGAACUAUUUCCUUUAAUA
rnacentral:tRNA from 2 species